GAUGAACGCUAGCGGCAGGCUUAAUACAUGCAAGUCGUGGGGCAGCAUGAGUGUAGCAAUACAUUUGAUGGCGACCGGCAAACGGGUGCGGAACACGUACACAACCUUCCUAUAAGUGGGGAAUAGCCCAGAGAAAUUUGGAUUAAUACCCCGUAACAUAACGAUGUGGCAUCACAUUGUUAUUAUAGCUUCGGCGCUUAUUGAUGGGUGUGCGGCUGAUUAGAUAGUUGGCGGGGUAACGGCCCACCAAGUCUACGAUCAGUAGCUGAUGUGAGAGCAUGAUCAGCCAAACGGGCACUGAGGCACGGGCCCGACUCCUACGGGAGGCAGCAGUAAGGAAUAUUGGUCAAUGGACGCAAGUCUGAACCAGCCAUGCCGCGUGAAGGAUUAAGGUCCUCUGGAUUGUAAACUUCUUUUAUCUGGGACGAAAAAAGGCUUUUCUAAGUCACUUGACGGUACCAGAUGAAUAAGCACCGGCUAACUCCGUGCCAGCCGCCGCCGUAAAAC
rnacentral:rRNA from 1 species